rnacentral:rRNA from 1 species
GGGAAAUUUGCAUUUUGAUACUGUCUUGGACUAGAGUUCCUUGUAGAGGGGGGGGUAGAAAUUUCAUGGUGUAGCGGUGAAAUGCGUAGAGAUCUGAAGGAAAUAUCAGUGGCGAAAGGCGGCCCCCUGGCAACGAGACUGACGCUCAGAUGCGAAAAGCGUGGGGAGCAAACAGGGAUUAGAUACCCUGGUAGUUCCACGCCGUAAACGAUGUCUAUUAGGAGUCUGUGAUCCUUGAGUCGUGGGUUCCAAAGCUAACGCAUUAAAUAGACCGCCUGGGGAGUACGGCCGCAAGGUUAAAACUCAAAUGAAUUGACGGGGGCCCGCACAAGCGGUGGAGCAUGUGGUUUAAUUCGAUGCAACGCGAAGAACCUUACCUACCCUUGACAUCCAGAGAACUUACCAGAGAUGGUUUGGUGCCUUCGGGAACUCUGAGACAGGUGCUGCAUGGCUGUCGUCAGCUCGUGUUGUGAAAUGUUGGGUUAAGUCCCGCAACGAGCGCAACCCUUGUCCUAUGUUGCCAGCGCGUAAUGGCGGGAACUCAUGGGAGACUGCCGGUGAUAAACCGGAGGAAGGUGGGGACGACGUCAAGUCAUCAUGGCCCUUACGGGUAGGGCUACACACGUGCUACAAUGGUCAGUACAAAGGGUUGCCAACUCGCGAGAGUGAGCCAAUCCCAUAAAGCUGGUCGUAGUCCGGAUUGGAGUCUGCAACUCGACUCCAUGAAGUCGGAAUCGCUAGUAAUCGUGGAUCAGAAUGUCCACGGUGAAUACGUUCCCGGGCCUUGUACACACCGCCCGUCACACCAUGGGAGUGGGCUGCACACAAGAAGUAGGUGUAGUUAACCUCGGACGACG